UACGUAGGGGGCAAGCGUUGUCCGGAUUUAUUGGGCGUAAAGAGCUUGUAGGCGGUUUGUCGCGUCUGCCGUGAAAAUUCGAGGCUCAACCUCGAACUUGCGGUGGGUACGGGCAGACUAGAGUGUGGUAGGGGAGACUGGAAUUCCUGGUGUAGCGGUGAAAUGCGCAGAUAUCAGGAGGAACACCAGCGGCGAAGGCGGGUCUCUGGGCCGAUACUGACGCUGAGGAGCGAAAGCGUGGGGAGCAAACAGG
rnacentral:rRNA from 1 species